GUGAUCCCACUUUUUUAGCAGAUUUUGAUAGUGGAGAUCAUGUCCUUAGUUUUAGGAGUCAGUUUAGGCUUUUAAAGUAAGAUACAAAGAUGCAACACACUAAGCACAUAAGAAACUAGAAAACACUGAAAAAGAGAGAAAGACACACGAAAUUUCUUUCUAUUUUGAACCCCCAAUAUAUCAAAAAGCAAACCAUUUUCACAGAGAAAGAGAGAAGUCCAGGAGCACAGGUGUACGGCCAGAGGUGCUUAAAUGGAAAGUUAGUAACAUAAGAGAAGAGACAGAUCCAUUGACUCCAAGAUUAAGUUUUUUCUCCACAUCUUAGUCAUUCUCUGAGUAAAACCUAAAGGAUUAUGAUUGAUCUGAGACAUAAUUGGGGACACCAAUGAGGACAGGAGAUCUACAUCCAUGGUACUUUACAUUGUAGUUGUUAAACUUAUAGAAAUUGUCAUGAUAAUUGCUUAUUUAUUGGUCAUGCGAAUAAAAUUAACGAGUUUCUGAACUUUUUAAUAUUUAAAAUUUAAAAUUUGGAAUGUAUAGUGAAUUAAUAAAAUUUCUUUAUUUAUGUAAAGAGAAGUGAUAAUUUUUUUAUAUAGAGUACUAUGUUAUAACUAAAAUUAAUGAAUAUCAUACAUUAAUUCUUACUUCGAGCUGAGAAUCGGUCGUGGUCACAUGUACUGUUUCUGCUAUUUAUUGAAUUAAUGAAAUAAUUAACAACUAAUGUCAACUUUUUAUUCAUAAAAUUUCUCUU